rnacentral:rRNA from 1 species
GACAGAGGAUGCAAGCGUUAUCCGGAAUGAUUGGGCGUAAAGCGUGCGCAGGCGGUUUUGUAAGUCUGUCGUGAAAUCCCCGGGCUCAACCUGGGAAUUGCGAUGGAGACUGCAAGGCUAGAAUCUGGCAGAGGGGGGUAGAAUUCCACGUGUAGCAGUGAAAUGCGUAGAGAUGUGGAGGAACACCGAUGGCGAAGGCAGCCCCCUGGGUCAAGAUUGACGCUCAUGCACGAAAGCGUGGGGAGCAAACGAGGAUUAGAGUACCCGUAGAUCCGA